rnacentral:rRNA from 1 species
AGAUUGAACGCUGGCGGCAUGCCUAACACAUGCAAGUCGAACGGGAGUAGCAAUACUCUAGUGGCGGACGGGUGAGGAAUACGUAGGAAUUUGCCCUUAAGUGGGGGAUAACCCGGGGAACCCGGAUUAAUACCGCAUGACCUCGAAAGAGCAAAGUGGGGGAUCGCAAGACCUCACGCUUUUGGAGAAGCCUACGUCGGAUUAGCUAGUUGGUGAGGUAAUGGCUCACCAAGGCGACGAUCCCGUAACUGGUCUGAGAGGAUGAUCAGUCACACCGGAACUGAGACACGGUCCGGACUCCUACGGGAGCAGCAGGUGGGGAAUA